GUAUGAGAAAAACAGUGCUCUUCUUUACAUCUUCCCUAUUACUGUAUAUCAUUUCUCAAUUUACAGCACCUAUGGUUAUAUAUGUGUAGAUUCUGGCCAAGAUGAAUUCAGAUCUGUAACACUGAUUUGAUGCCAGGCUGCAUUAGUGUGGUACAUUGGAAAAGAGACCAGUGACUGAAAUUUUUAUUCUGGUUCUACAAAUUGAUGCUAGAAUUCCUUCAACUUUUAUUUUUUGUUGUUAUUAUUAAAACAUGGAAAAUACAGUUGUAUAAUCCUCGACAAAUUCUUUGAAUUUUCUGGACCUUAAUUCACUUUACAUAGAAGGUGAUAUAUGGAUUAACAGUGCAGUUUUUGUGAUUUGUUAGAAUUGAUUCAUUUGUGAUAGUAAAGGUGUUUUCUGAUGUCUCCAUUUUAAUAGGCAGAGCUUUGAUCAAUUGGGAAAUAUUAAUGGACAGAAAUAAAGUAGAUAAUGGUUCUCUAGUUUGCCUACUCUUCAGUAAGCCAAUUUUCACAACUUAAUCUUUACCCAUUAGUAAGUGGCAUAUACUGCAAUUGAUCACCUUCCUGUUUGCCUUCUUUUUUGGUAAAAAAGAACAAUCCAGUAUUGUUAAGGUCCACCAAUAUAAUUUUUUGGUUUGUUUUCAAAGCUACUUGAACAAGUUGAAAUAACUGUUCUUGCAGUUAUUUGUAGAAAUAGCUUCAGAAAUAAUACGAAGUAUAGGGAUAAUAGGCUAUUAUAUUGUUUAUUUAUUUUCUACAGAGAAGUCCUAGAGAAUAUAUCUACAAUAUAGAAACUUUCUUCAUUCAGAUAACCAUAAAGGUGGUACCAGAGAGCAGGGGGAGGGGCAGAAGGAGAAUCAGCUUCCCUGCUGAGCAGGACUCUGGGAUCAUGACCUGAGCCGAAGCAGAUGCCUAAUGGACUGAACCACCCAGGCGCCCUGGCCAUGGGCAGAUUUGUCAGCAAGAAGUUAUGUGAAACUCUCAUAGCAAAACCUAAAAAUAAGUACUUUGUUUUUGUUAUUAGGCCCAUAUCACAUUUAAGCUGACCUUAAGAAUUUUUAGAUCUGUAGAAAGGUCUGGAGACUUGAGUGAAAAAGGAUUUCUGCUAUUCUUUGUUGAUGAGUCCUCAAUAUUGUUCAUUCCUCUUCCAUAGUAUUUAUUUAUCAGAAUACUGGCACUUUAUUGUAAUGUGCUUGGUCUUAAUAGAAUCUUAACAGAAAUAAAUUAAAGUCUGUGGUUGUCUGUGGUAUUCCCCAUGCCAUAACCCAGUUUAACUGAUGCACUUGGAACUUGGAGCUGAAUUAAAUGAAUUAAAUAA